AGGUUACUGCUAUCGGUGUUCGCUUAAGCCAUGCGAGUCAUAUGUUCGUAAGAACAUGGCGUACUGCUCAGUAACACGUGGAUAACCUGCCCUUUGGGUCCGGCAUAACCCCGGGAAACUGGGGACAAUUCCGGAUAACGCACAUAUGCUGGAAUGCUUUAUGCGUAAAAUGGAUUCGUCUGCCCAAGGAUGGGUCUGCGGCCUAUCAGGUAGUAGUGGGUGUAAUGUACCUACUAGCCUACGACGGGUACGGGUUGUGAGAGCAAGAGCCCGGAGAUGGAUUCUGAGACAUGAAUCCAGGCCCUACGGGGCGCAGCAGGCGCGAAAACUUUACAAUGCGGGAAACCGUGAUAAGGGGACACCGAGUGCCAGCAUCCUAUGCUGGCUGUCCGGGUGUGUAAAAUACACCUGUUAGCAAGGGCCGGGCAAGACCGGUGCCAGCCGCCGCGGUAACACCGGCGGCCCGAGUGGUGAUCGUGAUUAUUGGGUCUAAAGGGUCCGUAGCCGGUUUGGUCAGUCCUCCGGGAAAUCUGACAGCUUAACUGUUAGGCUUUCGGAGGAUACUGCCAGACUUGGAACCGGGAGAGGUAAGAGGUACUACAGGGGUAGGAGUGAAAUCUUGUAAUCCCUGUGGGACCGCCUGUGGCGAAGGCGUCUUACCAGAAUGGGUUCGACGGUGAGGGACGAAAGCUGGGGGCACGAACCGGAUUAGAUACCCGGGUAGUCCUAGCCGUAAACGAUGCUCGCUAGGUGUCACGGCAGUCGUGAAUUGUCGUGGUGCCGUAGGGAAGCCGUGAAGCGAGCCACUUGGGAAGUACGACCGCAAGGUUGAAACUUAA
rnacentral:rRNA from 1 species